rnacentral:rRNA from 1 species
UGGUCAAGUUAUUAAGGGUGCAGGGCGGAUGCCUUGGCACUAGGAGCCGAUGAAGGACGUGAUAAGCUGCGAUAAGCUUCGGGGAGUUGCACGUAAACUUUGAUCCGAAGAUUUCCGAAUGAGGAAACUCACUUAGAGUAAUGUCUAAGUAUCAUUAAGUGAAUACAUAGCUUAAUGAGGGGAACUCAGGGAACUGAAACAUCUAAGUACCUGAAGGAAGAGAAAGAAAUUCGAUUCCGUAAGUAGCGGCGAGCGAACGCGGAUUAGCCCAAACCAAUAAAGUUUUCUUUAUUGGGGUUGCGGACAUAUCAUAACGAAGAGGUAUCGUAAUUGAAGAGGUUUGGAAAGACCCACCACAGAAGGUAAUAGUCCUGUAUGUUAAACGAGAAGACUUUAGAUAUGAUCCAGAGUACUACGGGACACGUGAAACCCUGUGGGAAGCAGGAGGGACCACCCUCCAAGGCUAAAUACUACCUAGUGACCGAUAGCGUAUAGUACCGUGAGGGAAAGGUGAAAAGAACCCCGGGAGGGGAGUGAAAUAGAACCUGAAACCCUGCACUUACAAGCUGUGGAAGCACAUUUCUUGUGUGACCGCGUACUUUUUGUAGAACGGGCCAACGAGUUACGUUAAGUAGCAAGGUUAAGCACUUAAGGUGCGGAGCCGUAGCGAAAGCGAGUUUUAACUGAGCGUUCAGUUACUUGACGUAGACCCGAAACCGGGCGACCUACCCAUGAGCAGGAUGAAGCGAAAGUAAAAUUUCGUGGAGGUCCGAACCCACGAGCGUUGAAAAGCUCGGGGAUGACUUGUGGGUAGCGGUGAAAUUCCAAUCGAGCCCGGAGAUAGCUGGUUCUCCCCGAAAUAGCUUUAGGGCUAGCCUCAAGGUGAGAGAUACGGAGGUAGAGCACUGAAUGUCCUAGGGGGUAUUGCACCUACCGAAGACUAUCAAACUCCGAAUGCCGUCAUCUUAUACUUGGGAGUCAGACUGUGGGUGAUAAGAUUCAUAGUCGAAAGGGCAACAGCCCAGAUCGUCAGCUAAGGUCCCUAAAUGUAAGUUAAGUGGUAAAGGAUGUGGGAUUGCACAGACAACCAGGAUGUUGGCUUAGAAGCAGCCACUCAUUCAAAGAGUGCGUAAUAGCUCACUGGUCGAGUGAUCCUGCGCCGAAGAUUUCCGGGGCUAAAACUUACUACCGAAGCUACGGCAUCAGUAAUGAUGGGUAGGGGAGCUUCCCAUACGGGUUGAAGCAUGACCGUAAGGACAUGUGGACAGUAGGGGAGUGAGAAUGUUGGCAUGAGUAGCGAGAUGUGGGUGAGAAUCCCACAGGCCGUAAACCCAAGG